UGGAAAGCCUCUAGGACCCGGGGAAGCCCGGCGGGCCGCCCCACCCUCCAAGCUAGCCCGUACGGGCGGCGCCAUGGGUCCGGGGGCAGACGAACGCCGCGCGGCCGCCGAGCCAGCCCCGCCGCCGUUCGUGCGAGUCGCCCCCUCGCUCUUUCUCGGGAACGCGCGAGCCGCGAGAGCGACGGAGCGGCUGGCGCGCGCGGGCGUCACACUGUGCGUGAACGUCUCACGCCAACAGCCCGGCCCGCGCGUUCCCGGCGUGACCGAGCUGCGCGUGCCCGUGUUCGACGACCCAGCCGAGGACCUGUUGGCGUACCUGGAGCCCACCUGCGCCGCCAUGGAGGCCGAGGUGCGCGCCGGCGGCGCCUGCCUGGUCUUCUGCAAGAACGGCCGCAGCCGCUCGGCCGCCGUCUGCACCGCCUACCUCAUGCGGCACCAAGGCCUCAGUCUGUUGAGGGCCUUCCAGACGGUGAAGAGCGCCCGUCCGGUAGCUGAGCCUAAUGCAGGUUUCUGGUCUCAGCUCCAGAAGUAUGAGGAGGCCCUCCAGGCUCAGUCCUGCCUGCCCAGAGAGCCUUUGGGGACAGCUCUUACAAGCGGCAGCAAAGCCACCCAGCCCUAGGGGUGAUCCCUGACUACUCCAGCAGAGCAAAUGGCAGGGCCUGCGGCCCCAGGAAAGAAAAGGUGGGAAGGUCGGUUCUCUGAUAGGAGGCUGAUCGCUCCCCUCCUUCUUCAAUAUUACAGAGUUUUCAUGUUUCCCUCCAUUUAGCCUCAUCUCCCUGAAUCGCAGCCCAAGCCUCUGUCCCCUCUUGGUGGUGCAGAGGUGUGGGAGGGGACACAUACUGUCCCUCCCUCUGGUCUAGCUCAGUUUAUUGGGCUUUGGUCAGGAAAAUCUAAACCACUUGAACUUUAUGCGAUUGGAUGCAAGGAGAUGGAAGCAGGAGAUUCACGACAGGAGAUGGGUGUCACGGGGCCCACCACCCGGAUCUGAGCUGCCAGCUCAACCUACCAAACCACAGUACAUCUCUUGCCUCCCUCCUCCCACACCUCUCUCUGGUCCUGUCGCCUAGAGGGGGUGCAGGCCUGCGGGGCUGAGACUGGGAGCUGCUGUGAGAAGCCGGGUAACUGCAGCCUGUGCUGACAGACCACCCAGCCUGGGCACUACUGGGGCCUCAGAGUCUGUACCAGCCACCCACCUUGACCUCUCUGCUUCAGUCACUUUCAUAGCUGCUGUCAAGCCAGCAAGGGACUGGUCCUCUCCCAGUGUGAAGGAUCCUGUAAGCUGUCACCAGGUACAUCUCAGAAUACUGAUUCCUUUUAUAGAACCUCCUGGACAUUUUAGGACCUUAAGACUAUUCUAGAAAACUAAUCACCAUCAACACUCUUAAGUUAGGGAAAGAGAAAAGGAAAAUGUGGAUAAUACAUACAAUUACAAAGUAAUAUGGGUUAAUUUAUACAAAUAUAUAUGUAUUUAUGUCUAUAUUCUAAACACAGUAAUGAAUAAACACUGGUUGGUGUUUAUCAUUUCCCUUUUCCCUUACUCGUUCCAUGUUCCCUCAGCUGGUCACUGGCUUCACCUGGUAGGGUGACUUGAGCCUCCAUUCCUGAAGGCCCUGGGCCCUGAGUAGUGUGCUGCACAGGUGCCUUUGACUCCUUUACCUGUUCUGCACAGCCUAGUUGAACUGGGAGACACUCUCUGCCCGGCCCUCAAACACUGCAAAGCCCCACUUGCCCAUCAAGAGUUGGAGGUCACUCUACCCAGCCAAGGCAUCCUGUUUUGCCUGAGGAGCCCAAAAUUGUUGGAUGGUGUCUCGGCCUCCAGCCCAGUGGGAUAUGGCGUGUCUCCAGGUAGAAGCAUCCCUGACUCAGCAGAGCCCAAGGUUAGAGGGGUGGAAAGCACAUAAUUUGUGAGCAAGACAUUGGGGUGAUACCAGGGGCCUUCCCCCUCCCACCCCUUGCCCUCCCAGACUAGGCUGCUUCUGGCUGUGAUGGGAGUGACACCACUGACUGGUCGCUGGGUCAGAACAUAUAGCACUACACCUUGUCAUUCAGCAAUGCCAGCCCUGUGGGCCACAGCCCCUGUCACACCAAGAUGGCUGUUCACAGUAGGUAAUCUGACUUGCCUGCUGCUGGGCAGUUUUCCCCUAAGUACCUCCAGUUCACACAACCAACCCCAUAAGGGAGCUGCUGCCACUGUGCCUCCCUGGCAGGGGAGUUGACCAGUUUGACCAGGUAGGUUGGGAGCAAGGGUCUGGGCCCAGGUUUCUGCCUGGAAUGCUGCACUGACCCCUGCUCACAGCACCUCCCAUGGGGGCACAGACCCUGACCUGGUGACUGGCCCUGGAGGAAAAGGGAAGCAAGGCCCAGGCCAGGUUGAAGGUCACUAUAGGUCACUUCAGAUGCUUUUGAUCUCACCAGCCCUGAGAACCAACCUCCAUGGCUCCCUAGGAUAUCUGAACCCAGGACAGCAUGGCCAGUCUGAACACUUCUUCCUGGAACCCUCAGCUGCCAACCCCCAACCCACUGCAGCCCUCCCAUUCUCACACCCUUGGGCACCAGCACACCUGUAAGGAAGUCUGAUCCCUGUGCAUCUGAGGAUGUCAGAAUAUAGGCAGCAUGUCAGCUGCUUCACUGUCCCAGAUCACCACCAGGUGGGAGUAGGAAAAUACCUGCGGGAGAAGCUGGGCUCUGACAUUCCAGGCUUCAAAGGUCCUCUCCCCUACGGUAGGUUAGGGAGUAGGGGGGAUUUCUCCAGGGCAACCCAGGGGGGUGUCUGGACAGUUGGCUUCCCUGUCCCCCGGUGUGAUGCCGUCUCCCGCCGCCAGGGGCGCUCCAGGCAGGCUGCAGUGGGGGAUUCCUCCCAUUGGUGGAGCUGCCCAGGCCACUUUGUAGUAAACCUGCCUUCACAGAACCAUGGGGGUGUCUCGGUGGGCUGACCUUAAUGCUGCAGAACAUCUCUUCACUCCCUAGGAUGGGCUUGCGUUGACCAAUGACAUGAAUGUGGGGUGGAAGGCACUCCCCCAGGGGUGAAACAGAUCCUCUGGACCUGCCAGGCUGCCCCACAGGGAGCUGCCAGAUGCACCUGCUAGCUGGCUCCUGCCAGGUGUGAAGGCCACCUCCUGUUCUGUAGCCAUUCCCUGGGGUCCCGGGUCCCUGGACAGGAUCUGUCCUGGGCAAGUCUUCAGGCCAGCAGAGAAUACAGCCUGGAAGAAUGGACCUGCAAGGUGGGGUGAGGGCAGGCAGGCCAGGUCUGCUUUAAGACCCCAGCACUGAGCUCCAAGACAGUAGGUCAUCCAGGGCCCUGCCCGCUGUGAGGCAGCACUGCCCAGCACAGCUAUCUGACCCACAGCCAUCCCCGCCACCCCAGUCACACUCAGCCCUUGAGAUAGGGCUCCUACGGCUGAGCAACUGACCGCCUAAUUGUAUUUAAUUUAAAUGUAAACACCCACCCACGCAUGGCUAGUGGCCACCAUACCUGACAGUUCAGCCUUGAGGGUCCUGAGCCCCGUCACAGAGUGCUGGCUGACACAUGGGGUACUAUGAAAUCCCUCUCGGGCCUGACGCCCCCCAAAUGUACGGACAACAUUGAGGUCCCGAUGCUACACUCCCCGGACACACCGACCCCACCAAGAAGCAACCCUGUGUCCGGUGCCCCCAAGUGAAACUGCUGCCCCAGGAGUCUGCUCCGCAGCCUCGAGUGGGAGCGGCGAUUCCGCCUCUGGAGUCUCCCUGCGACGCCCGAGAAGGAAGCGCCGAGC